GAUGAACGCUGGCGGCGUGCCUAAUACAUGCAAGUCGAGCGAUCAGAUGAGGAGCUUGCUCCUCUGACGUUAGCGGCGGACGGGUGAGUAACACGUGGAUAACCUACCUAUAAGACUGGGAUAACUUCGGGAAACCGGAGCUAAUACCGGAUAAUAUAUUGAACCGCAUGGUUCAAUAGUGAAAGCCGGUUUUGCUGUCACUUAUAGAUGGAUCCGCGCCGCAUUAGCUAGUUGGUAAGGUAACGGCUUACCAAGGCAACGAUGCGUAGCCGACCUGAGAGGGUGAUCGGCCACACUGGAACUGAGACACGGUCCAGACUCCUACGGGAGGCAGCAGUAGGGAAUCUUCCGCAAUGGGCGAAAGCCUGACGGAGCAACGCCGCGUGAGUGAUGAAGGUCUUCGGAUCGUAAAACUCUGUUAUUAGGGAAGAACAAAUGUGUAAGUAACUAUGCACGUCUUGACGGUACCUAAUCAGAAAGCCACGGCUAACUACGUG
rnacentral:rRNA from 1 species